AACAACCGGGAUUGCUUAGUAACGGCGAGUGAAGCGGCAAAAGCUCAAAUUUGAAAUCUGGUACCUUUGGUGCCCGAGUUGUAAUUUGGAGAGGGCAACUUUGGGACCGUUCCUUGUCUAUGUUCCUUGGAACAGGACGUCAUAGAGGGUGAGAAUCCCGUGUGGCGAGGAGUGCGGUUCUAUGUAAAGUGCCUUCGAAGAGUCGAGUUGUUUGGGAAUGCAGCUCUAAGUGGGUGGUAAAUUCCAUCUAAAGCUAAAUAUUGGCGAGAGACCGAUAGCGAACAAGUACAGUGAUGGAAAGAUGAAAAGAACUUUGAAAAGAGAGUGAAAAAGUACGUGAAAUUGUUGAAAGGGAAGGGCAUUUGAUCAGACAUGGUGUUUUGCGCCCUCUGCUCCUUGUGGGUGGGGGAAUCUCGCAGUUCACUGGGCCAGCAUCAGUUUUGGUGGCAGGAUAAAUCCGUAGGAAUGUAACUUGCUUCGGGAAGUAUUAUAGCCUAUGGGAAUACUGCCAGCUGGGACUGAGGACUGCGACGUAAGUCAAGGAUGCUGGCAUAAUGGUUAUAUGC
rnacentral:rRNA from 1 species